AUGCUUCACUGUAAAACCAAACAGAACAAGUCAAAACCUAUCAAAAUUCCAAACAUGACAGUCCAAUGCUGCAAAACCUUGCACAAGAAUAGAAAACUAAAAACUGCAUCAAGAAGGCAUUAUAACAGCAUACCUAAACAUUUCAAAUUCAUGCUAUCUUUCCCCCAAAAACCCCUUAUUUUCAAUAUAACAGGGACUGAAAAGAUAUAG